AGAAACACCUCCCCCUCGCUCUCGGGAGGUUGCAUUUCUAGACGACUGUUGUGCUCUUGCGGAGCACGUUGCCCUUCUGGCCAACGCCGAUCGCGUUGCUUUGGAUUCCCUGGCUUCGGAGGUGGGGUAGGGUGGGGGGGCACGCUCUUCAGGCGGAAAGCACCCCACGCUGGCUGCCCUCGCUCGUUAGCCUCCAUCUGCGUUGGUCCCGCCAUACAUGUGUGCCUCUGUGUACGGACUUUGGGAAAAGCGAGAGAAAGUGAGAUUUGGAUAUACCGUAUACAAAUAUACCACUGUCUAUAAGCGAAGGGGCCAGGCGGAUGGCGGAUGGCAACUGAUUCCGUAGCUGAGGAGAGACCGCCAAGAAGGCCCAAUUUCUUGUUUUCUCUUUCCUGGUCUCUCUCAGGUUCAUCAUCCUGAACUGUCCUGCUUGGGAAAACCAAUCUUUCCUCUUUUUUCGGACAAAGAAUUUCCAUUCUACCGUCUCCACUACUUACAAGAAGAGUGACCCUGUGUCCCAUUCAUAGAGAACCAUCUUGUAUUGGAAGGCAGCCUCUAUAUUGAAAACUGACCAGUUUUAAAGUAAGAAGGGGGGACCAAGAGCCUGGAAAUUGCUUGUUAACAAUGAGCUUCUAGACAGCAGUCUAAGCAAGCACACAGAUAUG